AACGCUGGCGGCGUGCCUAAUACAUGCAAGUCGAGCGGACAGAAGGGAGCUUGCUCCCGGAUGUUAGCGGCGGACGGGUGAGUAACACGUGGGUAACCUGCCUGUAAGACUGGGAUAACUCCGGGAAACCGGAGCUAAUACCGGAUAGUUCCUUGAACCGCAUGGUUCAAGGAUGAAAGACGGUUUCGGCUGUCACUUACAGAUGGACCCGCGGCGCAUUAGCUAGUUGGUGGGGUAAUGGCUCACCAAGGCGACGAUGCGUAGCCGACCUGAGAGGGUGAUCGGCCACACUGGGACUGAGACACGGCCCAGACUCCUACGGGAGGCAGCAGUAGGGAAUCUUCCGCAAUGGACGAAAGUCUGACGGAGCAACGCCGCGUGAGUGAUGAAGGUUUUCGGAUCGUAAAGCUCUGUUGUUAGGGAAGAACAAGUGCGAGAGUAACUGCUCGCACCUUGACGGUACCUAACCAGAAAGCCACGGCUAACUACGUGCCAGCAGCCGCGGUAAUACGUAGGUGGCAAGCGUUGUCCGGAAUUAUUGGGCGUAAAGGGCUCGCAGGCGGUUUCUUAAGUCUGAUGUGAAAGCCCCCGGCUCAACCGGGGAGGGUCAUUGGAAACUGGGAAACUUGAGUGCAGAAGAGGAGAGUGGAAUUCCACGUGUAGCGGUGAAAUGCGUAGAGAUGUGGAGGAACACCAGUGGCGAAGGCGACUCUCUGGUCUGUAACUGACGCUGAGGAGCGAAAGCGUGGGGAGCGAACAGGAUUAGAUACCCUGGUAGUCCACGCCGUAAACGAUGAGUGCUAAGUG
rnacentral:rRNA from 1 species